UGGGGAAUAUUGCACAAUGGGCGCAAGCCUGAUGCAGCGACGCCGCGUGGAGGAUGAAGGCUUUCGAGUUGUAAACUCCUGUUAAGUGGGAAGAAAGACUGUUGACUAAUACUCAACAGGGAUGACGGUACCACUAGAGAAAGCACCGGCAAACUUCGUGCCAGCAGCCGCGGUAAUACGAAGGGUGCAAGCGUUAUUCGGAGUUACUGGGCGUAAAGAGUAUGUAGGCGGUUUAUUAAGUUAGUUGUUAAAGACCACGGCUCAACCGUGGAAAGGCAGCUGAUACUGAUGAGCUAGAGCGCAGAAGAGAGGAGUGGAAUUCCCGGAGUAGCGGUAAAAUGCGUAGAUCUCGGGAGGAACACCGGUUGCGAAGGCGGCUUCUUGGUCUGUGGCUGACGCUAAAGUACGAAAGCGUGGGGAGCAAACAGG
rnacentral:rRNA from 1 species